rnacentral:lncRNA from 1 species
CUGCGGCAGGCCUGGAGGCCGUACUGGGACCUGGCCAAAGACCCAGAAGUCCAGCUUUGAAGAAAACCUGGAGAAAGAGAGAGUCACAAAUCAUCUCCAUACUGCAGGAGAUGCAGAAAUGGCAGAAGGGCGGCACAGGCAGCAUUUGUCCUCUCAACAUCAAUCAUGAGGUCCUCAACUUCAUUCUGGAGCCUCUGCUUCGU